rnacentral:rRNA from 1 species
GCUGAGCUGUGAUGGGGAAGCUCCUUAUGGAGCGAAGUCUUUGAUUCCCCGCUGCCAAGAAAAGCUUCUAGCGAGAUAAAAGGUGCCUGUACCGCAAACCGACACAGGUAGGCGAGGAGAGAAUCCUAAGGUGUGCGAGAGAACUCUGGUUAAGGAACUCGGCAAAAUGACCCCGUAACUUCGGGAGAAGGGGUGCUUUCUUAACGGAAAGCCGCAGUGAAUAGGCCCAAGCGACUGUUUAGCAAAAACACAGCUCUCUGCGAAGCCGUAAGGCGAAGUAUAGGGGGUGACACCUGCCCGGUGCUGGAAGGUUAAGGAGAGGGGUUAGCGUAAGCGAAGCUCUGAACUGAAGCCCCAGUAAACGGCGGCCGUAACUAUAACGGUCCUAAGGUAGCGAAAUUCCUUGUCGGGUAAGUUCCGACCCGCACGAAAGGUGUAACGAUUUGGGCACUGUCUCAACCAGAGACUCGGUGAAAUUAUAGUACCUGUGAAGAUGCAGGUUACCCGCGACAGGACGGAAAGACCCCGUGGAGCUUUACUGUAGCCUGAUAUUGAAUUUUGGUACAGUUUGUACAGGAUAGGCGGGAGCCUUUGAAACCGGAGCGCUAGCUUCGGUGGAGGCGCUGGUGGGAUACCGCCCUGACUGUAUUGAAAUUCUAACCUACGGGUCUUAUCGACCCGGGAGACAGUGUCAGGUGGGCAGUUUGACUGGGGCGGUCGCCUCCUAAAGUGUAACGGAGGCGCCCAAAGGUUCCCUCAGAAUGGUUGGAAAUCAUUCGUAGAGUGCAAAGGCAUAAGGGAGCUUGACUGCGAGACCUACAAGUCGAGCAGGGACGAAAGUCGGGCUUAGUGAUCCGGUGGUUCCGCAUGGAAGGGCCAUCGCUCAACGGAUAAAAGCUACCCCGGGGAUAACAGGCUUAUCUCCCCCAAGAGUCCACAUCGACGGGGAGGUUUGGCACCUCGAUGUCGGCUCAUCGCAUCCUGGGGCUGUAGUCGGUCCCAAGGGUUGGGCUGUUCGCCCAUUAAAGCGGUACGCGAGCUGGGUUCAGAACGUCGUGAGACAGUUCGGUCCCUAUCCGUCGUGGGCGUAGGAAAUUUGAGAGGAGCUGUCCUUAGUACGAGAGGACCGGGAUGGACGCACCGCUGGUGUACCAGUUGUUCUGCCAAGGGCAUAGCUGGGUAGCUAUGUGCGGAAGGGAUAAGUGCUGAAAGCAUCUAAGCAUGAAGCCCCCCUCAAGAUGAGAUUUCCCAUAGCGUAAGCUAGUAAGAUCCCUGAAAGAUGAUCAGGUUGAUAGGUUCGAGGUGGAAGCAUGGUGACAUGUGGAGCUGACGAAUACUAAUAGAUCGAGGACUUAACCAU